rnacentral:ribozyme from 1 species
UGCCCAGCAACUCAUUUCCCAACCUCCUCGUAGUACUGGCCGGGGUACGAGCAACCUUAGAGAAGAUCGGGUAGCCAACCCCAGUGGGAACUUUGGUCGUAUGCUGGCAAGGAAG